AGUGCAGAAAUUGUCAGACUGUGGAAAAGAAGCACGAGCCUCCCAAACUCAAUUUCAUAGAUCUGGUUCUAAUAGCUAUGCGAACCAACAAGCUGAUUAUGAAGACGAGCAUGGAGUAAAAAUGAGCUUAUUAGCCCUUUGGAUAAAGACUCAUACGGGCAAGGACGGGACCUUUCUUCCAAACACACUCACUGAAGAUUUUGUUGAUGAUGCAAAGGCCAUGGUUGAAUCGCUGAAGAAUGUAGACCCUUCUAAGUCUCAACAAGAACUCGAGAAUAAAGCCUUUGAGGACACUAUGCAUGGUGGAAAGGUAACAG